ensembl:lncRNA
AUGGGAUGGGGAAGCAGGCUUCCCUGGCAGCGGGCUGCACUUCCGAGCCCAAUGCCAUCAGGGACCUUGACCUCCACUUUGAGGCACUGGCCCUGGCUCUCUGGACCUUCUGGGGGUGGUUUGGGGGAUAUCGUGUUGCCCACCACACCACGGCUUAGCCAAAGAUGGACUGAGCAGUGUGGGCAUGGGGAGGGGGCCAGAUCACCUCUAGAUUCCCUUGCUGGCCCUCAGUUCUCAGGGCACUGACUGCUCUCAGGAAUGGAGCCAGUGUCCCUGACCCCUGAAUGGGACACUGGGGACCCCCGAGUCCUCUCGACAGGCAGCCUAGAAGCUAGCAGCCCCUGCUGUUUGGAGCCUCUAAAGAGCCAGGAUUUAUGUCCCUUCCCCACCGUCCAUAUCUCUGGCUGGGGAGAACGGCUCAUUUUUCACGGUGCCGCGUGACUUUCCAGACUAUAUUUUCAGCCUCGGCUUGACGUCAGUCUCUCACUGUCAGUCUCUCACUCGGUCCCUAGGGAUCGGCUUUGUACAUUUCCAGGCUGUCCCGGCUGGAGCCUCCCCAUCCCCUUGGGCCUCUCGUGGUGUCUCUGCCCUCCCUCUGUCCACCACUGGUGGAAAUCCCUGGGCAACCGCCGGUGGGGGUGGCUGGGUCCCCUAGGAAGCCAGUGGAUGUGGCAGCAGGGAGGGGAGCUGCUGGUCAGCAGGAGAGAAGGCCAGGUGGGCUGGUGCCCUCCAGGGUGGGCUGGCCUGUGUGGCAUGUGAGAGUCGGGGUGGGGAGGGAAAGCUGGGGGCGGGAGGAGGGAGCUGGGCUGGCCGAGAUGGGAGACUGCACGCUUGUCUCUAGGCUGCUUAUCUGCAGACACUCCCUGGAACAGGCUCUGUCCCAAGGCCUAAAAAGAGAGGAGGGAAGAUGAGACUGGGGAGAGAGAGGAAGAUGGAGGAGCAGGAAAGGGAGAGGGCAGUGGCAGAGGCGGAAGACUGGACUAAUAGCACAAAGACAGAUUACACGGCAUGGGUCAGUGCUUCCCCGUUUACUUACCUCAUUUAAUCUCCAAAACAGCUUUGCUGUGGAUAUUGUUGUCUUUUUACAGAUGGAGAAAACCGUUGCAGAGAGAAUGUUCUUGGCUCACGGUGCUUAAAAUUCAGCCCAGCACUGCCCUUGGCUUUCAUUUCAAAGUUGAAGGGGCACGGUCUGCUCUCAGAACUGAGCACGUAGGCACCACCUGAACCCGCAUCAAACAGCAGUCCCCCAAUCCUGGCCAUGACUUGUGUUCUGGGGUGUCUUCAUCUUUGAACCUAGACUGGGGUCCUGUCUCCAUCAGGCACCCCAGACACAGUCAAAGAGACUUCUAGUUUCUGCACUGACACUUACCUUCUGUGUGACUGCAGGGUAGUCACUUAACCUUUCUGGGCCUUGAUUGCCUCCUGGUCUUAUACCUGAUAAAUUCAUCAUGUCCUGGACAUGGACAUGCACAUAAAUUCAACAUGGCCUAUUCUCUCNNNNNNNNNNNNNNNNNNNNNNNNNNNNNNNNNNNNNNNNNNNNNNNNNNNNNNNNNNNNNNNNNNNNNNNNNNNNNNNNNNNNNNNNNNNNNNNNNNNUGGACAUGCACAUAAAUUCAACAUGGCCUAUUCUCUCUAGUCCCUCACUGGAGCCCCUCAGUCAUCCCCAACCAGAAUCCUCAAGUCCUCCUUGACUCCACAGCAGUCGGCCACUGUGUCUGCUGAUUGUGACUCCUGAAUACUUCGAGGAUUGCUAUGCUCCCUGCCUGGUGUUUGGUAGAUGCUGAAGAGACGCUAGUUCUUUCUCUCAUGAACCCUUCUUCCUGUUUUGAAAAGCACCAGGUAAUCCGAAAAUGUGUCACUGUGAUAGAACUUGGAUCCCUGAGCCUCCCUUCUCACUUCUCUGCCAGUCACGGUGUCCCAACCCCCACCCCGUGGGCUGGGGCUUCUGAAUGACACCUAAUUCCCACUACAGGGCCUGGGUCCAGGCUCUCACGGUCCGCUGGAGUGGCAGCAUGUCACGGUGGUUAAGCACGUGGGCUUGGGACUCCAGUCUCAAUUCUGCCACUAACUAGCUGUGUGACUUAGACAAAUAACUUAACCCCUCUGUGCCUCACCUGUCUCCUCACCUGUAAAAUGGAAAUGAUAGUACACUUUUUUAUGAGAAUUAAAUGAAUUUAUACACAUAAAAUACUUAGAACAGUGCCUGGUAAAAACAAGCAUUCAACAAAUAUUAACUUUUGUAAUUAUUGCCUGGAAGAUAAUCACCUCCUCAGUGGUCUGUGCUUCCAGUGUUAUUCCCUAUGACACGUUCUCCACUCAGUGGCCAGAGAGCUUUCUCUGUCACUCCAUGCAGGGUUGCCAGAUAAAAUACAAGAUGCCCAGUUUAAACUUAUAUAGAUGUUUGGUAUUUGCUAAAUCUGGCAACUCUUCUCCCAUGCUUAAAAAUUUCCCCUGGUUUUCCAUUACCUUUAAAAUAAAAUCUAAGCCUUUUAGCAUGACAUUCAAGUUCCGUAUGAUUCAGACCCCUGCCCUCUCCAUUUAAUCCCUACCUCCCUAUUCCUUACCACUCCAGCCCCCUCAUCUUAUGCUCCAGCUGUCUCCAACUGUGUUCCUGGAAUCCCAGAGAAUGACUCUUAGCAUUUUGGAGCUAGGAUGAGCCAUUGGUCACAUUUUCAGAUGAGGGCUCAGAGAAAUUAAAGACCUGCCCAAAGUCACGAAGCUCACAUCACCCAUGUUCUUGACAGGAUCUCAAACCUUGGUCCUGCAACACUGAAAGCCACACACAGGCUCCUCUUAGAGUCUGAGAGUGAGGGAAGGCUGGAUCUGCUGGCCUGGAGUGGUUCUCAGGGGUCAGCCUGAGCAAGUUGUGAUGCCCAAGAGGUUUGCGGGGGGCAGAGAGUUGACCUGGAAGUGUUUCAGACUCAGGUAAGGAGUUCCUCAGAGUGUAGGGAUGUGCUUCUGAGACUCAGGGUCAGGAAAGCAAGGCCCUGUUUGCUGCUCUGUACCUGGGGUUUUGUCCUGGAGUGGAAACUUACUUCCCCAAGUCCAGUUAGCCGAGAGUAAGGCUCAGGAUUAUAAAACAGGCAGAAUAAUCUUGGCUGUCAAUAAUCCUGCCCAGAAGCCUUGUGGUGACCUCAGGGGGAGACAGUGGAGGCCGUCAGGACGGGAGUGGUGGACACCUUCCCCACAGGGCUUCUGGGCAGGUGUCAGCACUCUGCAGUCCUUGGGAGGCUCUGGCUCUGCUACAGCAUACGAAGGAAAUAUCUCUGCUCAGCGUUGAGAACUUGGUCUCAGUAAUUGACUUGUAUGAUGUCCAAAGACUGCGCAUAUAACCAGCUCAAAGUGAUGUAUCAUCUUUAGCAAAAAGAUUUAUCAUGGAAUCUGAGACAGCUUCCCAUUUGUCUAGAACAGAAAUAGGAAUGACUCUCCUUGCCAGGAAUCAUCCUUUGUCUUCAAAGCAAAUUUCUCCAUGGUUGGAGGUUUCCUGGACUGAGGCUGAGACCUGUGGCCAACUUACUGGCCAAGCUCCCAGAGUCCUGGUGUCUCUGUCUCAAGAAUCUCAGCUACAGGCAGC